AGAUCCUCAAAAAAAUUAUGCUAAUGGAUCAAAGCAAUUAUCUAAGCUCUCCUUGAAGACCUAAUGAAGUGGAUUACUUACAGCAAGAAACUUCCUUAUAUCUGACCAAAACCUGCCUCUUGGGAACCUUUAACCAUUAUUCCUAGCCCACAUAAUAGCCUGUUCAAUAUUUAUCAUGGAUGACAUGUCUUAUUUUUCUUUACAUUUCAUUUCAUGAAUGGCCUAUCCUGAGUACUCUCCUGGUUCUCAAUAUCCUUUCAAAAAUGUCAUUCUCAAGGUUGAAUACAAUACUCUAGAUUGGGUCUAGCAGCAGAAGGAGAACUGAAGAGUUUUCCAUUCAUUAGCCCAGGGCAAUAUACCUUUUUUAAAGCAGCUUAAAAUUUGUAUUAAUUUCCUUGACUACCAAACAUUCAGAUCUUUUUCACAUGAACUAUUAAUAGUACCUCCUCUUGUGAUGAUGAUUUUUGAACAUAAGUGUAAAAUUUUCCCACUUUUACACUCAUCUAUUAGAUUUGGCCCAAUAAUCUUGUCUAACAAGAUCUUUUUGAAUCCUGAGUGUCCUUCAAGAUAUUAGAUUUCCUAUGUCUCUCAACAUCAUAUGAUGCCCAAAUCUGGUUCCUUAAAGAGUCAUUAUUGCUUCACCUACUCUGGAAUCUAGCCUUUUUAGUCCAAAGGCUAGUCUUUGAGCUUAGCUUUAUUGAUUGCAUGGAUCCUGGAAGAUGUUAAGGAAGAGUGAAAUAAGAAUUUUAACUUUUCAAAACUGAACUGGAAAUUCAGGGACAAGGAAUUUCAGGUCUUAAUUUUCUUUUGUGGAUUCAUUCAGGUCCGGUUGUACCUACAUUGUAACUCCAGAGGCUAAGAAGCAGGAUGGUAGAAGAUAUGAUGUCCUGAUACAACUGCUGAAAUAUAUUUUUAAACAUAAUUUUAUUUGUUUUGUUAAAUUUCCCCAAAUACUUGUAAAUGUUUUAAGUAUUCUUUUUUUUAAAAUGUUGAGGCCAAAGUUCUCUUUCUUCCUUUUACACCUCCCUUGCCACUUGAGAAGGCAAGAAAUGUCAAUUACACAUGUGAAGUCAUAGA
rnacentral:lncRNA from 1 species